GUAAGAGGCACAGUCAAAACAGUCUAAAAUUUUAUUGAGCUCUUCCAGUCUGAUGCACUACUGAAAAUGGGGCUUCACUGUCUAUCUUUCAGGGGUCUCCGACAAACAACGUGUCUCCAACAUCGACUCCGGCCAAAUCUUCAAACGCUGUUCCCACACUGCAGCCUCCUCCUGGGGAGAGCGCUGCCGCUGCUGCUGCUGCUGAGCCAGCUGAAGAUUCCUUGUUGGACCUGGAUCCACUGUCCUCCUCGGGUCCCUCAGGACAAUCAGCUGCCCCCACGUCUUGGGGAGGUAAGUGUCCCUCCUUCCGUCAACUUAGCUGCUGGUUCAUCUGAAAGAAUACAAAUCCACAUUCUAGCAUUCACAGUAGAUUAAGUCGCCAUAUACAGUAAGUAAUCUAUUUUCUGUUAGUGAACUGUCAAAAACUGUUUUAGCUUGGGCUUAAACUAACAUGUAUUUUCCUUGUUCUGUUGUUUGCUGCUUUAAAGAUCUUCUUGGAUCAGGUGAGGUUUCACUCUACUCUUUAUUCUCCUCCAGCCUCUACAGUAGUCUAGACUAGUGUAGUCUUAACGCAUCCUCUGGGACACCUCAAUGACAUUGACUUUCUUUCAAAACAAAACAAAAACUCUAAUCUGAAAUUGAGGUGGCAUGGAAACAAUGUCAAUGUUUUAAUCCAAAUUAAACAUGAAAAUAGACUGUAAUGUACAAAUCCUCCCUGUUUGUCUCCUCAAGCUGUUCUCUUUAGUCUGAGUAGUCUCUUUGUUUCUCUCUGCCUUCUCUCUCCCUUCCCUCCACAUACUCCAUUGUCUGUUUUUGGUUUACAACGGGGGCUAUUUUGGUUGGUUGUUUUUAUUUGUUGGUUAUGACUGGAUGGUGUUGAAUAAUUUAACUUUAAUUUGGUUAAAAUUUGGAUUUUACUUUGCUUGGUCAAUUCCAAAAUUUCUUAAUUGGCUAUAAUUUGUAUUGGACAUUUGUUUUGGCUUGCUUUUAUUCACUGUUGUAACGGUGACUCGACUGCAUAUUUUGGUUGCUCUUUUGGGGUUUAUUUUGGUACCUUUCUUUGGGGAUUUCAAACACCCCGUUGGUACUCGCAGAAAUGGGCGAUUCCUUGCUAUCUGAACCCACCCUCACAGCAGAGCCCGCCCCCUCCUCUGCAGCAGCAACGCCCACUCCUGCAGCCGCAGAACCUGGAGUCUCUCUAGCUCCUCCCACUAGCACAGCAGCCGCCACCUCCCCUGGCGCCACCAAUAUGGAUCUGUUGGGAGGUCAGUGGGCUUCCAGAUAAUUCUCUACGAAAGAAUCACUCUGGGAAGCUCGACCCUAAAACCAUCACACAAAUAUGAUAACACAAAGACGACUGCAUGCUCAAACACAUACAAUAUGUAGACGAACUACGCUGAUUUGUCACUGAUAUUGUCUGCAUUCUGCUAAUGAAGUUGCAUCAUCAAAAACAGUGAAGUCUUAAUGAUGCAUUGAUGCACACCUUCAUCAUUUUCAGCUCUCAACUGCCGUUCCUAGAAAAGUAUCCAAUAUUAAAUAGAUAUAUGAUGUUGAUUUCAUAAUGACAUUUGCCCGAUAACACAUUUAUUUAAUAACAUAACGAUUACGUUACGAGAUACGAGAUACGAGUUACGUAUUGUAACUCCAGAUUCUAUGAGUAUAGGCGCAGCCCUCUAAGAGCUG
ensembl:lncRNA